UACGAAGGGGGCUAGCGUUGUUCGGAAUCACUGGGCGUAAAGCGCACGUAGGCGGAUCUUUAAGUCAGAGGUGAAAUCCCAAGGCUCAACCUUGGAACUGCCUUUGAUACUGGGGAUCUCGAGUCCGGGAGAGGUGAGUGGAACUGCGAGUGUAGAGGUGAAAUUCGUAGAUAUUCGCAAGAACACCAGUGGCGAAGGCGGCUCACUGGUCCGGAUCUGACGCUGAGGCG
rnacentral:rRNA from 1 species